GACGAACGCUGGCGGCGUGCUUAACACAUGCAAGUCGAACGGAAAGGCCCUGCUUUUGUGGGGUGCUCGAGCGGCGAACGGGUGAGUAACACGUGAGUAACCUGCCCUUGACUUUGGGAUAACUUCAGGAAACUGGGGCUAAUACCGGAUAGGAGCUCCUGCUGCAUGGUGGGGGUUGGAAAGUUUCGGCGGUUGGGGAUGGACUCGCGGCUUAUCAGCUUGUUGGUGGGGUAGUGGCUUACCAAGGCUUUGACGGGUAGCCGGCCUGAGAGGGUGACCGGCCACAUUGGGACUGAGAUACGGCCCAGACUCCUACGGGAGGCAGCAGUGGGGAAUAUUGCAUAAUGGGCGGAAGCCUGAUGCAGCAACGCCGCGUGCGGGAUGACGGCCUUCGGGUUGUAAACCGCUUUCGCCUGUGACGAAGCGUGAGUGACGGUAAUGGGUAAAGAAGCACCGGCUAACUACGUG
rnacentral:rRNA from 1 species